rnacentral:misc_RNA from 1 species
CAUGCAUUGCUGAGGAGGUGACAAACUUAUACACUUCUGACACUUCUGCAAAUCUGGACUCCAAAAUCCCAAUCUAAUAUCCACUGGGCUUUGUCUUCAGUACCUGUAAAACAACUCCAUCUGAUCAACUCUGUGCCAGAGCAGGUAAUAACUCUUGCAUUUUCAAGUUGCGUAAUCGUGAAACUUUCGGUUAUGGGUCAACUAUUCAUGCCAUUAUUUACAUAGAACGUCCACUGCAUAAAUAAUGUUCACAUCCAAGAAUUUAAAGAGAACAGGAUGUGCCGGCCUUACAAGAGAUAGUAAUUACAACUAUUUGCAUGUGCAAGA